UACGAAGGGGGCUAGCGUUGUUCGGAUUCACUGGGCGUAAAGCGCACGUAGGCGGAUUGUUAAGUCAGGGGUGAAAUCCUGGAGCUCAACUCCAGAACUGCCUUUGAUACUGGCGAUCUUGAGUCCGGGAGAGGUGAGUGGAACUGCGAGUGUAGAGGUGAAAUUCGUAGAUAUUCGCAAGAACACCAGUGGCGAAGGCGGCUCACUGGCCCGGUACUGACGCUGAGGUGCGAAAGCGUGGGGAGCAAACAGGG
rnacentral:rRNA from 1 species